rnacentral:rRNA from 1 species
UGGGGAAUUUUGCACAAUGGGGGCAACCCUGAUGCAGCGACGCCGCGUGAUUUAGAAGGCCUUCGGGUUGUAAAAAUCUUUUCUAUGGGAAGAAAAUGACAGUACCAUAGGAAUAAGGACCGGCUAAUUACGUGCCAGCAGCCGCUGUAAUACGUAAGGUCCGAGCGUUGUCCGGAAUCAUUGGGCGUAAAGGGUACGUAGGCGGGUAAGCAAGUUAGAAGUGAAAUCCUAUAGCUCAACUAUAGUAAGCUUUUAAAACUGCUAAUCUUGAGGUAUGGAAGGGAAAGUGGAAUUCCUAGUGUAGCGGUGAAAUGCGCAGAUAUUAGGAGGAAUAACGGUGGCGAAGGCGACUUUCUGGCCAUAACCUGACGCUGAGGUACGAAAGCGUGGGUAGCAAACAGG